CUCGUGCUUUAACAUUUUUUUUAUUUUUUUUUAAAGAAUUAAUAUACAUCAUUACAAAAAUCAUGAAGUUACAUUAUAUGAAAUAAUAAAAGAAGUACAAAUGUGAUGACAGUCCUUUAAGACAGUUAACAAGAAGAUCAAAACCCAAGGAUAUACUUUGAAAGUAGUAAAUCCCUUCAUGGUGUACAUCAAGGGUGUAACACACAGAGCCAGACAGCUGGAUAGAACCCACCAGGCUUUUAAUCAAAGUCUUUGGGUGUUUAGUCCAGUAGAAACAAGGAUUCCACAUUUCAAACUGCUUGGUCUUCCUGCUGGGUGGGCACCUGCACUAUGGAAAUUCAACUCCUUAUUAAUGACACUCUAGUGGUAGUAGGGAGAUAAUGAUUAUAGUUCUUCUGCCUCUUGGUUCACAGCUGAAUUACAGGGUUAUUAACUUAAGUGACGAGUCAAACUUAAGGUCAUAAUAGCCCAAAUGGAAAACAUCUCUUAAGUUAGCUUUCCUUUUUUUUUUUUUUGCCACAUUUGGCCUUAAAAUGUACUCCUUUAGUAGGUAAUGUUAAACUAUGGUAGAGGGUGUCAGAAUUAGAAUGGACAACACUGGGAUAUGAGUGACAGUGGAUCCCAGUACUGUCCUUCUUAAAGGCUCUGCUAUGCUACACUUAACGAAGGAGAGUUGUAUAGAUGUGUUUUGAAUGGAGCGAUACAGAAAGACAGACAAAGAAAGGUAUAAACUAAAAAUAGGGGAAAUGAAUGGGGUAGACUCAAAUGGAGAAAUUACAAAUGAAUACGGGAGACUCAGUGGGAGUGACAAACUGAUAAUAUUGGGAAGAUAAACAGACUGAUACGGUUGGAACAGAUGGACAAAGAGAGAAAAACAUUUUUUAAAAAGGGAAAAAUAAUCUAAGACUGAUCCAAAGAGAGACAAAUCAGCUGAACAAAAAGUCCCAGUCUCUGACUCUUUUUCUUCAUUGAAUAUUAUAUCUGACUUUUUGACUACUACCCAUGUUCCUAAUACAUCACCCUCUCUCUGGAUUUAUCUGUAUUUUUCUCCACUUUGUCUCUGGCUGGGUCUGUCUCUUUUUUUCAUUAUCUAUUUUCAGCUCACUCUUUCCCUGUCAAUCUAGAGGUCCUUCUCUGCUUUGCUACAUUUUUGUUUGAGUCUGCCUUUCAAGAGACCCAAAAGACAGAUAAAAUGAAAGAUCAGAAAUGUUUGUGUUGUCUAUGAAUAUUAUUUAUAAAGCACCAACAAUUCAGGAGUGUUGUACAAUGGGUGGACAGAGAGACAUAUUUGUAACAAGAUGAGUUGGACACACAGGAACAUAGGGGGUUGAGGGUUCUGUUAAAAUGAGCUUACAUGCUAGAGGGAGCUGGGUAUAGUGACACAAAAGGUAAGGGUAGCAUAGAAAAGUAGGUUUCUAGAAUAGUAUCCACUGAGGGCUUAGUGUUUUGUAUUUCUUUGUAAUAUACUUUCACAUCUUGAUAGGAGUUUUGGGCAGGCAGAUAUUAAAGACAUUUGAUAAUAACCAAAGUAAAAUAAACUGAAUAAAAAAUAAUAAUUGAAUUUAGCCUAUUAUUCUCUAAGCAACUUGCUACUGUUAUGAAAUGGCAACUGAACAUAAAGAUACAUAAAUAGUGGGAUAUAACUUUAUUCUAAGAAAACAGAAAUUCAGAAACAUAGAAUUACAUGCAAAUCAACACCUGUAUGAAACAGCGUGUUAGACUGUACUACACAAGGCUGUAUUUAAACUUACAGUUCAUUUGACGUUGAUUUAACCCUUUUCAGUGCUCCUUGUGGCUAGAACAACUGGUUCAUACUUGCAUGUUUAUUCACUUAAUAUACAUUAAUUUUACAGGGUUCACAAAUUAUGACAUGUAUCAAAAAUAAAGAGACACAUUUAUCCUCAAUUUAAUCUAGUGAUGACCUGCACAGAUUAUAGAGGAACUGGGUGUGAUAUUUUUUAUUUAAUUCCUUCUACCAAGAAUUAUCAGAAUAACAUUUGAAGAAAAUACAUAACUCCCACUUGAAUUAUAUUCUUCGACAUGUAAAGUGUAAUUCGUAGUAGGCUACAUUAUGCUUUGAGGCCCUAUCAGCUCGUAAAAAAAAAAGUCCCAACAUUUUUGGAUAUUUGGAUAUAUCACAAUGGUGUACUAAAGGUCUGCAGACUAACUGCAAUAAAAAAAAUAAAAAAAUAGAAUCACCAUUUAAUGCUCAAAAUAACCUUUUCACCUAGUUCGUUAAUCUAAUCAUUCGAAAGCCAGAGAUGUGCCCACCGCAAUGCUAAGCAAGUGUUGUUAAACUUUAUUAUAAUUGCGAGGGUUACACUGAUAAAAGUGCAUAAUUGUACACCAAUAGGAUCAGUUUAGUCACCAACAUUACAUUAAUAUUAGAUAUGAAUUAGUGGGCACAUUUAGCUAUAAAACACAUUUUAGUUUAAACCAAGCUUUAACUUUCUGUGCAAAUAACUAUUACCUCCUCUGUGCGUGCCAACACCUGCUCCUUAAAUGGAAUUUCUCACAGUAUCUAGAUUCUUUCCAGGUGUUACAGACAUGGAAGGAAUGGCCAACCUUGCAAUUUGACUUUUACCGAGAGCCUAUGAUGAGCAUAGAGUGAAAACAUUUAAAGCUGCCACAGGGAAUACAUACUUCUCAACAUUUCACGGACAAAGAGGGACACUAUGACUUUAGGGGUGUGAGCGUCAGUGUGGCCAGGGGAAGGGCUGUUUUGAGACAUUUUAGGUGAUUUUACUCAUCACAAUUUAUGCAACUAAAAUAUGAGUUAGAACAAGAAGAAUGUAUUUUAUUUAACCAGACUGAUUUCUAAACACAUUUAUUGUAGUUUAAAGACACAUUACUGGAGGUAUUAUUGCUGUGGAGCUCUGUUAUACUUUCAAACACACCAACUUUAAGGAGGCCCUAGAAAAGAGGGACAUUAGGAUAGAAGAGAGAGACAUAGUUUUGGGGCCAGCAUAGGAACUGUCCAUCCUAAGUAGGGACACUUAAGAGGGAUGGAACUAGACUCCCUAUAUAUAUGUAAUGUUGUUCUUUAAAGUGUACAGGGGAUUUCGCCUGAGAGCCCUCAAUGCGGUCAAGCUGUGUCUUGCAGUGAAAAGUAAAUCACGAAACAUAUCUUCCCAAUCCUACUCAUGGUUCUUAUCUAACUAGGAAAGAAUAGUAUAAAUAAUUUCCAGACAAUAUUUUAAGGAAAGUAAGAAUACCUCUGGAAAGGCGAAACAGUACCCUUGUAGUCUCCCUUCUACAAAUUCACUUAAAGGAACACUCCAAAUACCAUAACUACUACAGCCCCACAAUGCAAGUUGUCAAAGCAUUUUACAAUGGUUUGAUUUCUUACCUGGGGUCCACCACUGCCUGACUCUGCUGUUUGGAAGCAGCCAGGUGGUGGAGGGCUUUACUCUUAUCUAAUGAGCCGACUCUGCACUGCAGAGAAGAAUAAAUGGUCUGCCUAUUUAUGGGUGGGGGUGCCAGGGCAAUGGUUCUUGUAUUUUUAGUGUUUUUUUUGUUUUGUUUUUUAAUAUUGAGAUUAUAUAAGUUUGUUAUGUCAUGUUCUCCAUUUUGUUCAGACACUAUGCAUAAAACAAAGAAAGAAUUACUUUGUACAACAGUUGUAAGGUAAAGGAAGGUAAAACCGGCAUUUCUCUUGUGUACCAAGUCAGGGAACAUAUGCAUAUUUUGUUAAUAACAUAUACAGUCAGGUCCAUAAAUAUUGGGCAUCAACACAAUUCUAAUCUGUUUGGCUCUAUACACCACCACAUGGAUUUGAAAUGAAAUGAACAAAAUGUGCUUUAACUGCAGACUGUAAUUUGAGGGUAUUUACAUCCAAAUCAGGUUAACGGUGUAGGAAUUACAACAGUUUGUAUAUGUGCCUCCCACUUUUCACCGGUGCGUUCUUUCUUUUUAAGGAUGUUCCAAACAGUUGAUUUGGCCACAUCUAAUGUUUUUGCUAUCUCUCUGAUGGGUUUGUUUUGUUUUUUCAGCCUAAUGAUGGCUUGCUUCACUGAUAGUGACAGCUCUUUGGAUCUCAUAUUGAGAGUUGACAGCAACA